rnacentral:rRNA from 1 species
UACGUAGGUGGCAAGCGUUGUCCGGAUUUACUGGGCGUAAAGAGCGCGCAGGCGGUCGUUCAAGUCGCGUGUGAAAGCCCCCGGCUCAACUGGGGAGGGUCACGCGAUACUGAUCGACUCGAAGGCAGGAGAGGGAAGUGGAAUUCCCGGUGUAGUGGUGAAAUGCGUAGAUAUCGGGAGGAACACCAGUGGCGAAGGCAGCUCGCUGGGACGUGACUGACGCUGAGACGCGAAAGCGUGGGGAGCAACAG